rnacentral:rRNA from 1 species
GUGGGCGCUGGAGAACCGAGGGGGGCUGCUCCUAGUACGAGAGGACCGGAGUGGACGCAUCACUGGUGUUCGGGUUGUCAUACCAAUGGCACUGCCCGGUAGCUAAAUGCGGAAGAGAUAAGUGCUGAAAGCAUCUAAGCACGAAACUUGCCCCGAGAUGAGUUCUCCCUGACUCCUUGAGAGUCCUGAAGGAACGUUGAAGACGACGACGUUGAUAGGCCGGGUGUGUAAGCGCAGCGAUGCGUUGAGCUAACCGGUACUAAUGAACCGUGAGGCUUAACCUUACAACGCCGAAG